UACGGGGGGGGCAAGCGUUGUUCGGAAUUACUGGGCGUAAAGGGCUCGUAGGCGGCCAACUAAGUCAGACGUGAAAUCCCUCGGCUUAACCGGGGAACUGCGUCUGAUACUGGAUGGCUUGAGGUUGGGAGAGGGAUGCGGAAUUCCUGGUGUAGCGGUGGAAUGCGCAGAUAUCAGGAGGAACACCGGUGGCGAAGGCGGGUCUCUGGGCAGUAACUGACGCUGAGGAGCGAAAGCGUGGGGAGCGAACAGG
rnacentral:rRNA from 1 species